rnacentral:lncRNA from 1 species
CUUUUUGCAUUGGAUGGUAUUAUCCCCACUUAAAUAUGAGGAAACUGUUGGAGAAAUCAAGUACCUUAUUUAUUUUAAAUGAGUAACACUUGUCUAACUACAAAGCUGAUGCUUUUUACCAUGCUGCCUGCUAGCUCCAAACAGUAAAAUUCUUGUGAAUUUGGGUGGAUGUAUUGGAGUUGGGUUGGGUAGGUGUUCAUAUUUUUUCCCUUAUCCCUUGUAGUGGAUAGUAAGCUUCCAUUUGCUAUUCCCAACUACAUAGUCAACCUUAGGGGUAUGUAUGUAGACUUUCAUGUACAGGAUCCACUGCUUACAGCAGCAUCUGACAAGGGGGCUGACCUCAGCCAGAACUGUGUUGUGCCAUGGGCAAGGACGUCUUUAGGGCAAAAUAUAUUAUUGACUAUCAGAUAGUAGUUCUCUAAACAUAUACUGAGCCAACGGAAUCCCUUCCCUAUGAAAACAAUCCUAGAUAGGCCUUCAGUUUAGUUAUUUAAUUAUUAAAUACUAAAUGAUAGCAUUAUAUAAGACUGGCAAGGUACACAGAGGCUUGAUUCUGUUCUAGGGGCACUAGGAAGCAUAACCUGAGAC